rnacentral:misc_RNA from 1 species
UUAGUAUUUUAUUAUGAUCUGCAUACAUAUCCUAAUUUACUUUUUUACUUUAAUCAACUGCUAUAUAUUUUCCUUCUUCUAAUAAUUCUUCAUCUUUCUUCAUUUGUAUUUCUUGUAGCGCUGGUCGAAUAUAUCGAUAAUAACAAAAUCCUUUAUAUACUAAAGUUAUUCCAGAAACUACUGUCAGACCCAUUAAUACCGUUACAGUUCCUCUGUGAAGUUUGUCUAAGAUAUAACUCCUUUUCGCAUAUUUUGGCAACAUUUUUUAUUAAUAUUUUUGUCUGUAUCAACAGUUUUUAAAAUAUAUAAACCUGGAAAAUGUAUAAUUACUAUUACAAAUCAUAUAACUGAGAAACGUAAUAAAAUGUAUUUCAAUUUAUAUUAUUAAUUACGUAAUUUGUUGCACGCACCUACUCUAUACGAGAGUAAAUAAGAUAACAGUGUAUUAUAGAGUUAAAAAGUUUUUGACUUCUAUCUUUCUUCUGAAGAUUAAGCCUUUUAUAUAUGAGGUUAGGAACGCGUUUGGUGCUCUCUGCUCAAAUAAAUACUAAGGCUAAUACACGUUCGAUGUGAGACGUGAGUCUAACGCGUUGAAAAAUAAACGAACCUAUAAUUAUGCAAUCUUUUUGUCAAUCAAAUGAGUUUUUUAGAAAUUCAUUAAAUAUUGUUGAAUCUACAUCUAAAACUAUCUCAUCCAAUGAAGGCCCUUGUUGUGUCACUGGCAAUUCUGAAAUAAAAGUAAACUUCACAAAAUUGACUUUAAAAUUAAGUUAAACUU